UAGUGGCUCAGUGGGUAAGGCAUCGGUCUACUGAGCGGAAGGUCAUGAGUUCAAAUCCCAGAACCGCUAA